CUUCAUACCAGGACUAUGGCCUAAGAGGUUCUACUUCAUACCAGGACAAUGGCCUAAGAGGUUCUACUUCAUACCAGGACAAUGGCCUAAGAGGUUCUACUUCAUACCAGGACUAUGGCCUAAGAGGUUCCACUUCCUACCAGGACUAUGGCCUAAGAGGUUCUACUUCAUACCAGGACAAUGGCCUAAGAGGUUCUACUUCCUACCAGGACUAUGGCCUAAGAGGUUCUACUUCAUACCAGGACAAUGGCCUAAGAGGUUCCACUUCCUACCAGGACUAUGGCCUGAGAGGUUCCACUUCCUGCCAGGACUAUGGCCUAAGA